CAUUAAGAGUUCUAAAUAACAACCAAAGAAUGAUUUUGUCACAUAUCUGUUUUUUUACAGGUUGAGAAAGACCAAAAGUUUAUUCCUUAUGUUUGGACUGUGAUGAGGUGGCACAAUGAAUAUAUUUCCUGGGAUCCAGAUCAGUUUUUUGGCAUUAAAAAUGUUUCUCUACCUAUUGAGGUUUUGUGGAAGACAAAUCUCACCAUUGAAGAAAUGUAAGUAUAAAUAUACUCACAUACAGAGACAUAGAUAGAACACGUCUUUCCAGAAAGUCGAGCCAUCAUUUUCACUUUAGCCCAGGACAUUCGGCUGCAGCCAAGUGACAACUCUACAGAAGCAACAGAGUGGUCUCGUGAUUUGAUGCGGACACAAUAUGAGUGGCUGUUUAUAAACAUGACAGUCACUGCCAACAAUGCCAGUGAUUUAGUUGGCCAAGACAUCAUCAUUUACACUAUCACCAUGAAGAGGCGAUCGCUCCUCUAUGUUGUCAACUUCUUGCUGUCUGUCCUCUUCUUUUUGUCUUUGGACUUGGCCUCCUUCCUGAUCUCAGACAGCAGGGGGAGAAGCUCAGCUUUAAGGUCACUGUUCUGCUUGCCGUCACAGUGUUACAGCUCAUCCUUAAUAAAAUUCUGCCUGCAACAUCAAACAGGAUCCCACUUAUAGGUAAAGAAGCACAAAAAGUCUUGCCUUCACUGAAUACUUCAUACUGUCUUAAUAAAUGGUAAUUUGUCCACAAUAGUGAUCAUCCUGCUGCCUUCAGCGGUCUACCUCAUUGGGAUCUUUGCUCUGAUGAUGGUCACUAAACGGCUAAAUAUCAUGGCAGAAUUGUACACAUUUUCAAACAUACUUGUGAGGUACAACAAAUAUCAGCACU